GGAUGUAAGGGCAAUUUGGCUGUGACAUCUGUCACUCAUUGAUUUCCAGGAUUGAUUUGACUGAUCUGGCUAGCUAUAUGAGUGUUCCCUUCCUCUUCUAGCUAGCUCCAUGUGUGUCCCUCUGGAAACUACACUUGAAAGAAGAAUGAUAUUCCCCAAUAGAGAAGGUCUGUUCUGUCAAGUGUACACAAGUACUGUGCUCCUGUUACGGUUGAGAUCUGGUAUGUCCCCCCAAAGCUCAUGCAUUGAAAGUUUGGACCUUU
ensembl:misc_RNA 7SK 7SK RNA